ACACAGAAUCUCCCAGAUAUUAGAGUUAAUCCUCAUGAGAGUCUGCUAGAAACUAAAAUAUAGGGUCUAUUUUUUGGUAUCAGGUUCUUGGCCCUUUAUUAAGCUUUUAAUGACUAAAUAAAUAGAUUUAUAGAUUCACUCAACCCUGCUUCAACUCAUCGGCUGUAGAGAAAGGAUUUUAAGGUAUCAUUAACCCUGACCCAUCGGAGAGACUAGCAUUUGAAUGAGCAGACUUAAUAUCUUAGGGACAAGUCACCUUCUGGGAACAACAGAUGUACCCUACAAAAGUCAAACCCUAAGGCCUUCUUACGAGAGUGUUCAAGAGUUAAGAAAAUGUAAAAGUUAUAUAGACUGCCUGCGAUUGCUCCAUAUACAACUGUUAUCACACAAUGCAGAUUACAAUGCCAACACAAAGAGGCAUAAUAGAGCAGAGCAGAGUGCAGAGCUGACCCCGGGAGCCAUAGUAUGGAGGAUAAUGACAGCUAUGUUAAUAACAGGAAGAACUGUAAACUAAGAAAAAGUGAUUUGGGCUUUUUUCCCCCUUGAACAAGGUGACAGUGAGAUUACUCAAAAUUCUUAGAAUAUUAGCCUGCAACUCUAGAAAUUGAGAAAAACACAUCCAAAUAGCCCAUUUCCUCUUGGUUGUAAAUUUUAGCAGGUAUGCAGUUUACAACAAGUUUAACUGUCUUUGUGAGUGUCACUGCAGAACUAAAAUCUUCAAAAAUUAGAAAGAGAUCCACUAGCACCUACAUUUUUUAAAACAUUUCAGCAUAGUUACACAGAAAGCAUGUUGCUAUCAUGCUGUAAAGAGAACAUUUUGACCACUACAUAGCUGCUGCCAUAUACUUCCUAAUUUUGAGUUCAAGUCAUCUGCUCCUUUUACUGGCUAAGUCUAAUUAUUGUUUCAAAAACACCUUGGCUAUUAUUGAAAACAAAAAGGUAAGAGAGAAAAGAAAAGUGGCAAGGUAGCUCAACUUCAAGGACUUUCAAUUUGCAAGAGUUUUCCAAAAAAUAUUUUUCUCUGAAGGCUUAUUUACUAUUUAGGUUUGGGGAAUUAUAAACAGGAAGACAUAAACCUAAUGUUGGUACUUGUGUUUAUAUGGUAGAUGAAUUAUUUUUUCUGUAUCUCUUAAAUCGCUAAUAUAGUAUGUCAAAGUUAAAUUAUUAUAUGCAUUAAACUAGGCAAUA
rnacentral:lncRNA from 1 species